AGGGUGUAAACGCUGCAGACUUGGUGUUGGAAGCCCUUUGGGGGCAUUCAGUGCCGGAGAGAAGUUGUUAAGUCUGCUACUUGGGGAGUACGUCCGCAAGGAUGAAACUUAAAGGAAUUGGCGGGGGAGCACCGCAACGGGAGGAGCGUGCGGUUUAAUUGGAUUCAACACCGUAAACUCACCAGGGAAGACUGUUACAUGAAGGCCGAGAUGAAGACUCUGCCAGAUUUUCAGAGAGGAGUGCAUGGCGUCAGUGACU
rnacentral:rRNA from 1 species